ensembl:lncRNA
CAAAUUGGUCAGUGUUUCCUGCUUUUUCUUUUCUCAAUGACUUACAAGUAAAAAAGAAACCUUUAAGUGUCAAAGUGCAGUGGAUGUUUCAGGAGCACAGUACCCCUCACAGAGGAUGCUCUGCACUAAUUACUCUGCAGGAUCCAGCCACGGCAAGUUCUACUGCAUUUAGCAUGAAAGGGUAAUCCAGUUGUCCUUGUGGAGAGAUCAGCCCAGGGACAAGAUGGAGCAUAACAUUUCUGGUACUGACUGGAUAGAAUCAAAGCAGAGUACAAGGGCAAGAAACUGCAACCAGCUGUCCUUCACCAUGGUAUGGGAGGUCUGACUGGAGACAGAAGAGAGUAUUUAAAGCAUAUUUUCAAGAAAUAUGGAGUGUGACUGACUGGCUGAAGGAUUUUGUUGGCUGUAUAAAUGAUCUUUUUUAAGCAGCAAUUCAAAUGCAGGCUUUUUAAAGACAUGUCUAACUAUUCUUGGUUUGUUUGUGCGUGUAUGUGGCUAAUAGCUCUUGGCAGACAGGAAAGGAAGCAGAAGAGCCAUGUAAGAUAAAUCCUGGAGUUCUCAGCCAACACACAACCCGCUAUUCUCAUCUAAGGGAUAUGGCACCCUCACCUUCUGGAUGAGAUAUGGGCUUGGCGCCUUCUACCAACAGCCUUGCCAAGCCCCUGUUUUUCCCCACACCCCAUUUGCACCCCAUUUGCACAGAGACAGCCUGACUUGCAGAUGUUGCAUACCUUAGACAUAGCUCCUGCUUCUAUACAUAAUAAAGUUUCUGGGAACAGCAUGAGGAAGAUGGCUGUUACUGAAUUAGUAACAAGAAAAUAAACCACAGUAAUAUAAGCAGAGUUUUGUCUGGGCUUUUUUUUUUUUAAAGGUAAUAAUAAAUCAGGAAUUUUUAUUACAGUGGUUCUGUCAUUCUACUCCCUCUAACCACUGUUUCCAUUCUUCUGGGGGUGUGUCUGCAUACUUCAAUGAAUACAUUAGAGUAAAACUCACAGUAGAACCUUCCUCCCCUUAACAAUAUGAAGAACAUUGUAUGGAAUAACAUCUGAUCAUGUUUCUCCCUGCACUGACAUUCAUACCUCCCACGUGAGCUGUCUAAGUGGCUGUUGGAGAUUUAAUUAUCACCAGGUAC